rnacentral:rRNA from 1 species
AGUGAACGCUCGCGGUAGGCCUAACACAUGUAAGUCUAAUGUCAUCACAGUAAGAGCUUGCUUUUACGGGUGGCUAGUGCCGGACGGGCGCGGAAUACAUUGCAAUCUACUUUUUCGUGGGCGACAACGUAGGGCAACCUACGCUAAUACCUCAUGCUACCUACGGCUGAAAGCAGGGGCUCUUCCGACCUUGCGCGAUCCAAUGAGCCGAUCCCAGAUUAGCUGGUUUGCGGGGUAAAGGCCCACCAAGGCGACGAUUCGUGGCCGGUCUGUGAGGAUGAUCAGCCACACUGGAACGGAGACACGCUCCGGACUCCUACGGGAGGCAGCGGUGGGGAAUAUUGGACAAUGGGCGCAGGCCUGAUCCAACCAUACCGCGUGGGGGAAGAAGGCCUUCGGCUUGUAAAGCACUUUUGUUGGGAAAGAAAAUCGGCAGGUUAAUACCCCGCUGUUCUGACGGUACCCAAAGAAUAGGCACCGGCUAACUUCGUG